AUAGCCCUCGGAGAGGAAGUGGGUAAGGUCAGCCUCAACAGCCGGCUAGGCAGUUGUAACCGCCUCAACGGCCAAGGAGGUCGUACACCCUUAACCCGGUUUCCAUCAGAAGCGGAGAAAGAAGUCUUCUUCUUCUCUAUUGUGGCCCUUGGGCUGGCCACAUUGGGCCGGCCCAUUGGCCCAACUGUGUGCGGGCUGAUCACUGGACCCGCCCAUUGGCCCAUUUUCCAAAAUGGAACGGUAUAGAGCUCUAAAAUUUGAACAUUUAGAAUCAAUUUCUCCAAACUUUAAAGUCUUUAGGUUCCCUGCUCCUAGCAACCCUAUUAAUCUGAAAAAAAACAAUAGGAGUCCUAUUGGCCAUGCGGCUCAAUAAGUAACCAUACACCAUCUCACUGGAUCAAGCAUAAUAUUUCACAU
rnacentral:lncRNA from 1 species